UGUUUCAUAUACUGCAUUGAUGAGGGAGGCCCCGUGUGCACAUAGAUGCCGGUCUGAAACAGGGGAAGCGAGAUUAGAGAAGCUAUCCGACCAAAUCCGCCGCCCUCGCUGUCGGCCCCCGCCGAAAAUGAGGCAGACGAGAAAGAAGCAAAGGGAGCGGAGUUGGGUUGAACUCUGUUGUUUCGGUUGCACCUGCCUGCAGCUCUGGCCCAAGAUCGUCCUAAGGAAAUGGCUCAACAUCAGCUCCAGAGAAUCCGAUUUUAGCGCCGACGAAGGGGACACCACGGAGAGUGAGUUCGAGUAUGAAGAGAUGUGCGGUUCGGAGCGUCGACUGCGAGAUGAGGAGGCAAGAUUGGGCGGAUUUGGAGCCGAGAAAAACGGUAACAACGUGGAAGGCAUUCCUUACAGAUUACGAAGGCGAAAAUCUGAGACUCUUCGUGCACAAUAUAUUAAUACCAAAGAACUCAGGAUCUAUGUGGGGACAUGGAAUGUUGCAGGGAGACAUCCACCUGCUGACUUAAAUAUCAAAGAUUGGCUAGAUAUGGGGGAACCGGCUGAUAUAUAUGUGCUUGGCUUUCAGGAAAUUGUUCCACUAAAUGCUGGAAAUGUCCUGGGUGCGGAGGACAGCCGCCCCGUUCAGAGAUGGGAACAUAUAAUUCGUGAGACACUAAACAUGAUUCAGCCAGUUAAAGAGAAAUAUAAAUGUUACAGUGAUCCCUCUUCACCAUCAAGAUUCAAGCAAUCAGAUGAUGUCAUAGAUGAUGAACUAUUGCUUGAGUCUGAUAGUGAAAGUGAUGAGGAAGUUCGACUUGAUGAACAGCCGAAUUUUCAGUAUAAUGAAAAUCAGAUUGAUGCAAGUGAAGAUGAUCCAAAAUGUAAUUUAGCAUCCCAGUCCCUUUUCGCUGCAGAUCAAUGUGCACAACGAGAAAAUAUUGACAAUCAAUCUUCCCUGUAUGUAUUUGAUAGAUACCAUAGUUCGAGCUUUAAGAAUCAUGGAGCAAGUUCAGAAGCCUUCAUAAGUCAGCAAAAGAAGUUUACCAAAACAUUAAGCAGUUCAGAAAUGAUUGGUCUAAUUUGGCCAGAGCAGCCAUUGGAUCUGUUAUCCCAACACAAUAGGGAUACAUCAAAACCAAAAUCAUUAAACCCAGUAAAAUCUUUUAAAGCAUGCAAUUCAUUCAAUUCUCUACAUGGAGACCAUAAUGAUUCAUUUCCGACUCCUGAACUAGAUCUGGGAACUGUCGUGAAUAGAAAGAAAAGAUCAUCUUUUGUACGGAUCAUAAGCAAGCAAAUGGUUGGUAUUUUUCUUUCAGUCUGGGUCCGCAGAAGCCUGCGGAAGCACAUACAGAACUUGAAGGUAUCAACUGCUGGAGUAGGUGUCAUGGGCUACAUAGGCAACAAGGGAUCAAUAUCAGUCAGCUUGUCUAUAUAUCAGACACUCUUUUGCUUUAUAUGUAGUCACCUGACUUCUGGAGAAAAAGAUGGUGAUGAGCUUCGAAGGAAUGCUGAUGUGCGAGAAAUUCACAGAAAAACAUUAUUUAGUUCAGCUCCUGGUGUUGGAGUGGCAAAAACAAUCUUUGAUCAUGAAAGAAUUAUCUGGUUAGGUGAUCUAAAUUACCGCAUCAAUAUGUCAUAUGAUAGAGCUCACGAACUGAUUUACAGAAAGGAAUGGUCUAAAUUAUUUGAGAAAGACCAGUUGAGACUCGAACUUAAGAAAGGGCAUGUAUUUGAUGGAUGGUCAGAGGGUGUUAUAAAUUUCCCUCCUACCUACAAAUAUGAGUUGAACUCAGAGAAGUACGUUGGGGAUGAUCCAAAAGGUGGAAGAAGAACUCCUGCAUGGUGUGACCGCAUUCUUUCAUAUGGUAAGGGCAUGAGGCUAUUAGAUUACAGAAGAGUCGAGCUAAAAUUUUCAGAUCACCGUCCUGUUGCAGCAAUAUUCAUGGCUGAGGUUGAGGUUUUCAGCCAUAGAAAGCUUCAGCGAGCUCUCACCUUCACAGAUGCAGAGGUUGAAGAACAACUAGUUUCAGAUGCUGAUAAUGGAGUUGCGAACUGCUUGCGGCUAGGACAGGAAAUAACAGAAUAACUCGAUGGAAAGAUGCAGGCUGGUUCUCGAUAGGGUGGGUACGUAUUCAACUUGGCUGUUGUUUAUCUUUUUAGGGUUUUUUCUUGUAGAUUCAGGGCAUUCAGAGUACAUAAACUGUCACUGUAAAUCCAUCUGCAAUGAGUGAAACUGAGAGGAGUCAUGGAUUUGCACAUUACCGUGGCUUGGUGCUUGGAGAAGCGAGAGGGGAUCAUUAGGUGCAAUAAUACUGUGCGUGGCCCAAUGGGGGCUUGUUUUGGAUUGCUGGACAGUGUUUUGGCAGCAACGAGCUAUUGCUGCAAGAGUAACUAUGACUGUCCUUAGUAUCAUCACGUCUACCUGCUAUCGAAUAGCAAUCUUUAGGAAACUUGCAUUUGGAAUUUCCAAGAUGUUCAUGAUCCAUCUUACGCACGACUGGGGGAGUGACGGAUGGAAGUCACCUUGUGGCUUUGAUGACAUAGAGAGGAUUGUUGAUACCUCAAUGUCAUCAUUGCGUGAUCGAUGAUAUUUUAUUCUUUGGAUGUUAGCAUUCACCACUAUAUUGUAUCCUUCUAAUUUGACA